UACGUAGGGUGCGAGCGUUAAUCGGAAUUACUGGGCGUAAAGCGUCUGUAGGUGGUUUAUUAAGUCAACUGUUAAAUCUUGAAGCUCAACUUCAAAAUCGCAGUCGAAACUAGUAGACUAGAGUAUAGUAGGGGUAAAGGGAAUUUCCAGUGGAGCGGUGAAAUGCGUAGAGAUUGGAAAGAACACCGAUGGCGAAGGCACUUUACUGGGCUAUUACUGACACUCAGAGACGAAAGCUAGGGUAGCAAAUGGG
rnacentral:rRNA from 1 species